CGAACGAGUUUCAUGCGUACAACGUGAAAGGAUCGCCACGAUCGGAUAUCUUCGGGGACGAAGAACUGGUCCACCCACUGGGAAUUCCAGAUUUUUUUCCAUUGGUUAUCGAGCAGAGAGGAGCACGGGAAGCAUGCAUGGAUAUGAUCGAUUCGCAUCGAUUUCGAUUGAGAACGAUCCUUAUCGAGAAAUAUGCGAUUAUAGCGACAUCUAAGACAUUUUGGCGGUUUUACAUUAAGGUCACACGAGAAAGUGUUGUGUUAAUUUUUACGUUAUACAAGUGAAGAUUUUUAAUUAACAAUCAAAGAAAUACAUUUAAGCAAUUGUUUUUUUAGUGUUUUAAGUUUUUAUCCUGAUUUUUUCAAAAUUGUGUUGUAUGUAUAGUAUUUUGUUUGUGUACACUUUACAUAUUCUUUGUCUACGACUCAUUUUUCCAAAUCCAUAUUUUCAUUCUCUGCAUGUGUUUUAAAACAAACUGUUUUUUUCCUUUUACAUUACUGGAAUAAAAGCAAUGUUUGCUGUAAACAGUGCACGUACGACGAUAAAUUCGAACGUGUACGUAAAUACAAGGAUGUUAUGAAUAACAUGUUUCACAGGCAGUGUUAAGAGAAAUGGAAAAAGCUGUUCGAUGUUUAUUCGAUAACAAUUUAAUCCUCAGAUUAAAUAUCAAUUAUUCGACGAUCGAUUUCUAUCUCAUCCUUAGUCAUUCACAAGAUUCUAAACGCAUAGUAAUAGAUCAGCUAUAAUUCAAAUAACGUCUAAAUAACAUUUUAUCAGUAACAUAAUGUAAGUUUUUCAUCUUUUCUAAUUAAUUUUUAAGUAAUGAUUUUUCAUCCUUAACUUUUCUCAUUUUUCUUUAAUUCCAAACUAGAAUCUACGCAGUAUAUACGUGGGACAUCUCUAUAUACUUACGACAUCAGGAAAUUUACAUGCCACUUAUUUAGAAAUUAGCUGUAACUUGAUUAUAACAAAAGUGCAUAUGUUAACGAAGUACGAAAAGGGCAGAUCGCAGUGCACAGUCAGCGGCUAUUCUGUCUCGCUACUCCUCUUGUCGAGGUAAAAUUAGAGGUGGGCCGCUACGGCAAUUAUUAAAAUAGAAGAGUGACCGGUAGCUUCGAGUGGAAGCCUGACUCAUCCCGCUCGGAAAUGGAUAGAGUGCUCGCGAGGUGGAAAAUGCGCGAAAUCUAUUUGUCGACUGCGCCCCAGCACCAGCUGGACCCGAUCGAGAGAUUCGCACGAUGCUCGGGUCAUUGCCAUCACUCGUGCCGACAUCAAGUCUUCCUAUUAGCUGUUGUCAUUUGGCCCUGGACUCCAACGGAACAAAUCACCGUAAAAAUGUCGUAAUGUAUUCGUUAUCAGUUUCAUCUGAUUCUGAACGCAACCGUGUAGGACGUGACUGGAAUUUACGAAUGUCGGUGUGCGUAUGUUUAUUGAAGUGAAGCGUUACGUUCAAGGCGAGCACACCUUGAUCCUGGUAAGACGUUAUUGCAAAACUUGUUAAUCCCUCUCAGCUGGUAGAUUGAUUCGUAUACGAUGCAAAUAGAAUUUUUGAGAGACAAAAAGAAAAAAAAAAAAGAAAAUAGAUUUUAUCCUGAUUUAUGAAAAACUAGAUAUAUUUUUAUUUUUAUUUUUAAUUUUCUAUUCUUAAUUUUCUUCUAUUCUUCUAUUCUUCUAUUCUUAAUAGAAUUGAUUUUGGUAUACAAUAUUGUACGCGUCAUGGAGAGUUACUAACAGGAAUAAUUUUAACCCUCUUGUACAUCAACCAGACGAGUAAUCAGAUACCAACAAGCUUCGAAAGAACAAUGAGCGUCGUUUUAACCCCAACCUACCAGCUGAGGCUAAAGUUACUUUAAGCAUACUAUUACGUCCUUUUGCAGAUCUACGUCAAAAAGAGAUUUCCAUGUAAUCAAAGAAUAAGACGUUUCCUGUAUUCCUACUCCUUUUUGGAACAAAGUUUCAAGUUUAUCGGUCAGAUCUCUCUUCUACCUGAGACGAAGGUACAAAGGUUCGUGGACUAAUCUGCGUCUAUACCAGUCCAGCCAGGGUUUAGACCCUGAACGCUCCUAUUCAGGCUGGAAGAUUUGCGAACUGAAUAGCCGGUUUCUUCGAGGUAGAAUCGCGUGACGUCAUUUGUUUCUCCCCUGUCACGUUCUUUCUGCUUUCAACGCGCGUUCAAAGGAAAUGAGCGAUCUGUCCGCACGAAUUUGUUACGAGACCGGGCGCAGGUAAAAAUACAUUUGCAGCUGGAAAAUUAUUCUCACUUUCUUUGAAUCACUUUUAUAAGCAAGUAUUAACUCGUAUCGCUCUUUCCGUAUUUUCUUUCUCGAUCUCUUCGUAUUUUCUUUCUAGAUCUCUGUUUACCUUAACUAACACAGAGAUCGAAAUAGCAGGUAAUAAUCGUAAAACGAUCGGCGUGAAAGCACGCCGAUGAUUGCUCGCUUGUAUGAUCUCAUAUCGCGAUUUACCGCCGGUUACGUAAAUAAAACCAGAUGAAAACUCGUUACUGUGCUAAUUGAAUGGUGAUUGUGCAAUCUUCGUUUUAACUUCCUCUUUUAAAAAAAAAAAAAAAAAAGUAGUUCCUCUCGCAUUACAUUCCCAUCAAGAUAUAAUUAAAUAGCUAUACAACUAUCCAUUAAACAAUUUACAUUUCUAUCUCAUAAUAAAAUACCACCAUUAAUUUAUCAUUCAUCAACAUAUCUUUUUACAUUACGUUUUCUACAUUCUCUAUUACGCAGUUUCGAUCGUUGUAGGAAAAAAACCUUUUUAUCCUUUACAACAUGGAGCAUCUGGCGACCGAGGCAAAAGUUGC